AUGGGGAUUGUUCAUGAUUCUAUCUGGACAAGCGGUGGUGGUGAUUGGCUGGGUGGUGGUGUUGCCUUGGGGAGAGACAAAGUGAAGGUGACCCAGAAGUUCCCUUUCAUCAGCAGUUACAGAGCGUUCAGAGUUCCGAGCUCUGUCGACGUCGCCAGCCUUGUGAAAUGCCAACUGGUCGUCGCUUCUUUCGGUGGUAAUUCUCGAUUGUUUGCACCCUUACAUGCAGAUUCAGAGAUGAGUGUCAAAUUCUUCAGACAAGUUCUGAGACAGAGCAAGAUCCUUACAUACUGCUUGUGUGCAGCUGACAGGAAACACGUAGAUGUUACUGGACUGCAAUUACCCGGUGUGCUGGAUGACAUGUUUGCAUACAGAGGACCGCUCGGUGCGGUUUUCAGCAAGGACUCUGUGAGCCUGCACCUUUGGGCUCCUACAACACAUGUUUGGCUUCUAAAGACGACGCAUUUUACCAUCUCAAGUGUCGCCUCCGGUUCUGUACUAUUCCCGCUUAUAUGUAAAAUGUGCCCAAUAUAUCUUGUUGGAUGUGAGUGUGUGGUUCUUAGAUGGUCCGCCGGCCCUGCUCUAGAGACAGUGCAGCUCAAGGAGUCAAAUGCUGGUGACCUUUAUGCUAGAGGCCUUUCUGUAAAUGGAGCGCGGACCUGGUUGGUUGACAUUAACAAUGAAACAUUGAAGCCAGCUUCCUGGGAUGAAUUGGCCGAUGAUAAGCCAAAACUUGAUUCCUGCUCUGACAUAACCAUCUACGAAUUGCACAUUUGUGAUUUUAGUGCCCAUGAUGGCACAGUGGACAUUGACUCUCGUGGAGGAUUUCGUGCAUUUGCAUACUAG
rnacentral:rRNA from 1 species